rnacentral:rRNA from 1 species
CCUCAAAUCGGGUGAGACUACCCGCUGAACUUAAGCAUAUC